rnacentral:piRNA from 1 species
UUAUACGGAUAUCUUUAUAGU